GCCUGGGUGCCUCAGUCGGUUGAGCGUCUGACUUCAGCUCAGGUCAUGAUCUCGCAGUUCGUGGGUUCAAGCCCCACGUUGGGCU
rfam:Felis catus isolate Cinnamon breed Abyssinian chromosome E1, whole genome shotgun sequence.